rnacentral:tRNA from 1 species
GUUCCAGUAGCGCAAUGGAUAGCGCGUUGGAUUUCAAAUCCAAAGGCCGUGGGUUCAAAUUCCUCCUGGUAUG